AUGGCAACAUGAAUAAAUCUAGGACUUCAAAAUAGUACUUCUCCUUUAAUAGAACAAUUAAAUUUUUUUCAUGAUCAUACUUUAUUAAUUUUAAUUAUAAUUACUAUUAUAAUUGCAUAUAUUAUAUUUAUAUUAUUUUUUAAUAAAUUUACAAAUCGAUAUUUACUUCACGGACAAACAAUUGAAAUUAUUUGAACUAUCCUUCCUGCAAUUAUUUUAAUAUUUAUUGCCUUUCCUUCUUUACGACUUUUAUACUUAAUAGAUGAAAUUAAUUCUCCUUUAAUUACUUUAAAAGUUAUUGGCCAUCAAUGAUAUUGAAGUUAUGAAUAUUCUAAUUUUCUAAAUUUAGAAUUUGAUUCUUACAUAAUUCCAACUAAUGAAUUAGAUAUUAAUGGAUUUCGUUUAUUAGAUGUUGAUAAUCGAGUUAUUCUUCCAAUAAAUAAUCAAAUUCGAAUUUUAGUAACUGCUACUGAUGUAAUUCAUUCUUGAACAGUUCCUUCUAUAGGAAUAAAAAUUGAUGCUACUCCCGGACGUUUAAAUCAAACUAAUUUUUUAAUAAAUCAACCUGGAUUAUUUUAUGGACAAUGCUCAGAAAUUUGUGGAGCAAAUCAUAGUUUCAUACCAAUUGUUAUUGAGAGAAUCCCAAUAAAUUAUUUUAUUAAAUGAAUUUCUUCUCAAAUAAAUUCAUUAGAUGACUGAAAGCAAGUAAUGAUCUCUUAAAUCAUAAUAUAGUAAAUUAGCACUUACUUCUAAUGAAAUUUAAUUUUUUAAAAAAAUUAGUUUAAUCAAAAACCUUAGUAUGUCAAACUAAAAAAAUUAGAUCAUCUAAUAUUUUUUAAUUCCUCAAAUAGCUCCAAUUAGUUGAUUAACUUUAUUUUUUAUUUUUUCAAUUACAUUAGUAAUUUUUAAUGUAAAAAAUUACUUUUGUUUUUUUUAUAAUUCAAAUGAAUCUUCCCAAAAUUUAAAUAUUAAACAAUAUAAAUUAAAUUGAAAAUGAUAACAAACUUAUUUUCUGUAUUUGACCCUUCAACUACUAUUUUCAAUAUAUCAUUAAAUUGAUUUAGAACUUUUAUUGGUCUUUUAAUUAUCCCAUCAACAUUUUGAUUAAUACCUAAUCGAUUCCAAAUUAUUUGAAAUAAUAUUUUAUUAACUCUUCAUAAAGAAUUUAAAACUCUUUUAGGACCAAAUGGACAUAAUGGAAGAACUUUAAUAUUUGUGUCUUUAUUUUCUUUAAUUAUAUUUAAUAAUUUUUUAGGACUAUUCCCAUACAUUUUUACUAGUACUAGUCAUUUAACUUUAACUCUAACAUUAGCUUUUCCUUUAUGAUUAAGCUUUAUACUUUAUGGUUGAAUUUGUCAUACUCAACACAUAUUCGCCCACCUAGUCCCUCAAGGUACCCCUCCUGUACUAAUACCUUUUAUAGUUUGUAUUGAAACAAUUAGAAAUGUAAUUCGUCCUGGAACUUUAGCUGUACGACUUACAGCUAAUAUAAUUGCAGGUCAUCUUUUAAUAACUCUUUUAGGAAAUACCGGCCCUAUAUCAACAUCUUAUAUUAUUUUAUCUAUAAUUUUAAUUACUCAAAUUGCUUUAUUAGUACUUGAAUCAGCUGUAGCUAUUAUUCAAUCUUAUGUAUUUGCUGUUUUAAGAACCUUUAUUCAAGUGAAGUAAAUUAAUUUAUGUCAACACAUGCAAAUCACCCUUUUCAUUUAGUAGACUAUAGUCCCUGACCAUUAACAGGAGCUAUUGGAGCUAUAACAACAGUUACUGGACUUGUUCAAUGAUUUCAUCAAUAUAAUAACUCUUUAUUUCUAUUAGGAAAUAUUAUUACUAUACUUACAAUAUAUCAAUGAUGACGAGAUAUUUCUCGAGAAGGAACAUUUCAAGGUCUUCACACUAUCCCUGUAACAUUAGGAUUACGGUGGGGAAUAAUUUUAUUCAUUAUUUCAGAAGUAUUUUUUUUUAUUUCGUUUUUUUGAGCUUUUUUUCAUAGUAGUUUAUCCCCAACUAUUGAAUUAGGAAUAAUUUGACCUCCUAUUGGAAUUAUUCCUUUUAAUCCCUUCCAAAUUCCUUUACUUAAUACAGCUAUUCUCUUAGCAUCAGGAGUUACUGUUACAUGAGCUCAUCAUAGAUUAAUAGAAAAUAAUCAUACUCAAACUAUUCAAAGUUUAUUUUUUACUGUUAUUUUAGGAAUUUAUUUUUCAAUUCUUCAAGCUUAUGAAUAUAUCGAAGCACCUUUUACAAUUGCAGAUAAUGUAUAUGGGUCUACAUUUUUUGUUGCUACAGGAUUUCAUGGACUUCAUGUAUUAAUUGGAACAUCAUUUUUAUUAAUUUGUUUAUUUCGACAUUUAAAUUAUCACUUUUCUAGAAAACAUCAUUUUGGUUUUGAAGCAGCAGCUUGAUAUUGACAUUUUGUUGAUGUAGUUUGAUUAUUUUUAUAUAUUUCUAUUUAUUGAUGAGGUAAUUAA